CAGAGAAUAGUUUAUAUAAAAUAAUAAUUUUGGGGAUUAUAGAAAGGAGGAAUUCUUUUCUCUGA
rnacentral:tRNA from 1 species